rnacentral:rRNA from 1 species
AGACCCGAAACCCGGUGAUCUAGCCAUGGGCAGGUUGAAGGUUGGGUAACACUAACUGGAGGACCGAACCGACUAAUGUUGAAAAAUUAGCGGAUGACCUGUGGCUGGGGGUGAAAGGCCAAUCAAACCGGGAGAUAGCUGGUUCUCCCCGAAAGCUAUUUAGGUAGCGCCUCGUGAAUUCAUCUCCGGGGGUAGAGCACUGUUUCGGCUAGGGGGCCAUCCCGGCUUACCAACCCGAUGCAAACUGCGAAUACCGGAGAAUGUUAUCACGGGAGACACACGGCGGGUGCUAACGUCCGUCGUGAAGAGGGAAACAACCCAGACCGCCAGCUAAGGUCCCAAAGUCAUGGUUAAGUGGGAAACGAUGUGGGAAGGCCCAGACAGCCAGGAUGUUGGCUUAGAAGCAGCCAUCAUUUAAAGAAAGCGUAAUAGCUCACUGGUCGAGUCGGCCUGCGCGGAAGAUGUAACGGGGCUAAACCAUGCACCGAAGCUGCGGCAGCGAACGUAUCACCCAAGACAACUUUACGGAGUUGACGAUUGACGGAGCGAAGCGACGUCAAAGCGUUCAUUAAAGUCGAGUUGGCUUAGGGAUACGUUCGUUGGGUAGGGGAGCGUUCUGUAAGCCUGUGAAGGUGUGUCGUGAGGCAUGCUGGAGGUAUCAGAAGUGCGAAUGCUGACAUAAGUAACGAUAAAGCGGGUGAAAAGCCCGCUCGCCGGAAGACCAAGGGUUCCUGUCCAACGUUAAUCGGGGCAGGGUGAGUCGACCCCUAAGGCGAGGCCGAAAGGCGUAGUCGAUGGGAAACGGGUUAAUAUUCCCGUACUUGGUGUUACUGCGAAGGGGGGACGGAGAAGGCUAUGUUGGCCGGGCGACGGUUGUCCCGGUUUAAGCGUGUAGGUGUGUGUUCCAGGUAAAUCCGGUUCACUUUAACACUGAGGCGUGACGACGAGGCACUACGGUGCUGAAGCAACAAAUGCCCUGCUUCCAGGAAAAGCCUCUAAGCAUCAGGUAACACGAAAUCGUACCCCAAACCGACACAGGUGGUCAGGUAGAGAAUACCAAGGCGCUUGAGAGAACUCGGGUGAAGGAACUAGGCAAAAUGGUGCCGUAACUUCGGGAGAAGGCACG